rnacentral:rRNA from 1 species
UGUAGGUGAACCUGCAGAUGGAUCAUU